rnacentral:rRNA from 1 species
CAGUACUAUUUGCCUCGAUUAAUCCUACCUAGGAUACUUUCGAUAAUCCUGGAGUCAAUACCGUGCCCCUACGGGGAAAUAAGGUCACCAGCCUGCUCUGCAGUUUGUGUACCGUAAUAUCUGAAUUUCUUAUGAAACCGAGCGUAAGCUUCGGCAAAUCGUGCAAAGCACUGUCCUUUUAACUUGAGAUGGUAGUGUGGGGGACUACCAUGGUGAUUACGGGUAACGGGGUAUAAGGGUAUUACACCGGAGAGGAUGCCUUAGAUACGGCAACCACAUCUAAGGGAGGCAGCAGGCGCGCAAAUUACCACGUCUUAAAUCAAGGCGGUAGUGACGAAACGUAUCAAGCUAUUCUCUAUGAGAGUAUGCAUUGAAAUGGUUCAUAACCAAAACCUCUGAGGAGGAUCUAUGAGAGGGCAAGUCUGGUGCCAGCAGCCGCGGUAAUUCCAGUUCUCAAGGCGUAUGGCCGUUGUGUUGUGGUUAAAAAGCUCGUGAUUGUAUCUGUGUAAGUACCUUAGGCUUGUCCUGGGGGAAUCGCCGAAUGGCGAGAGCUACUCUGAGCAAAUCAGAGUGCUCAAAACAAGCUUUUCGCUUGAAUGUUCGUGUAUGGAAUGAUUGAAUAGGACUUUGUGUUCUUAUCA